CAGGUGUCACCACUUUGUCCAUGAUCACAGAGAGUCUUCGUACAAUGAAGAAGUUCUUUGAAACCAGGACAGAGGUCUCCAGUAUUCAAACUCCAACCAAUAAAUCACAGAGAAGAGACAGGCGUGAAGACAUUUCCACAAGGUCUUCAACUGCUGUCGUCUUCUCCUUCUGCAGAGAAAAGAACACGUGUUAAUCACAGAAACUGAUCAGUAAAUCUAAAUAUUUUUAAGACAUACUA